UUAAAGGGCACCACAAGAACGCGGGGAGCAUGUGGUUUAAUUUGACUCAACGCGGGGAUCUUACUAGGUCCGGACCGAUUCUAUGAUCGUCGUACUGUGGGGUGCUACGUGAUUACUGGAUGAGUGGUGCAUGGCCGUUCUUAGUUCGUGGUGUUAAUUGUCUACUUAAUUGUCCAUAGUUCCCGUACCAUCGAGAACUAAUAACGAACGAGAUCGAGACCCGUGGUUGCGUAUGUUUGAAUUCGGUAUUACUACGGGGAUCGCGUAUCACUCCACGGUACGAUCGAAAGACUCGGCAAUAACAGGUCUGUGAUGCCCUCAGAUGUUCUAGGCUGCACACGUGCUACAGUGUGGCGCUGUACUGUGUGUAUGCGUAGAUAUCUGAUAAGAUCCCCCGCACCGAGUCAUAAUCGGUCACACGGUGGACUCACCCGAUUGUCAAUUAUUCGGUAUACUAACUAGGAAUGCCUCGUACGGGG
rnacentral:rRNA from 1 species